UAAGGAAUAUUGGUCAAUGGACGCAAGUCUGAACCAGCCAUGCCGCGUGCAGGAAGACGGCCUUAUGGGUUGUAAACUGCUUUUAUACAGGAAUAAUUUUCCGUACGCGUACGGGAUUGAAGGUACUGUAGGA
rnacentral:rRNA from 1 species